CUCACCCCACCAUUCAUGCUCUCUCUGUCUCUCUCUCUAAAAUAAACAAAUAAACUUUUUUUUAAGGCUCAAAGCUUCCACUAGAUUUCUUAGAAUGCUGGUUCUUAGAUUUUUGGGAUGCCGGGCAAGAAAUUGAACUAUUCUGACAUUUGAUGCUGAAGUAAUCACAUGGAAAUUCCUGAAAUCACUUGAGGGGAGAGAGAGAGAGAGAGAGAGAGAGAGAGAGAGAGAGAGAGAGAGAUACAAACAGCUUUAGCUGUUCCAGCCCUUAGGGAUUUGAAUCACUUCAACUGAGGCUCCAAACACCAGGGAUCAGAUAUGAGUCGUCUUUACUUAACUCUGCACAAACUGCAAAUUUAUAAGCAAAAUCAGUAAUUGUUAUUACUUUGAGCCAUUACAAUUUUAUUUCUGGUGGAUGGAAUGUUAUGUGGUAAUGGAUAAAUGAAACUUCUGUUGUCAACCAUUGGUUAUAUGAAUUUGAAAUCCUGACAGUUGUUGGAGAGUUUCUUUAUCUUCCCCAUGUAAUGAUAUAAUUGGAGCCAUUAUGAAGCCAAACUGCAAAGCAGGUUGAAGUAGGGGUAAGUGGAGCCUAGCAGUUGGUCACAAACCAAACAAGAGACAAAAAUGGAGCCCUGAGUUCUGGGAGCAGAGUUCUUGCCAGUGUCACAGCUGAGGGACUGGAACCUAGCCUUAGGAGGGAACUGACCAAAAUAAGGAGUCAGAGUAACAAGUCAGGAAUUCAGGCACCAAGGAACCCGGUAGAAGUGGAGAUUCUUUUUGGAGCAAUGCCUGGAAUUACUGAAGCCAUUUUGGAAGCAUGAAUGAUUUGUUGAGUGCAGCAGAAUGCAGAGAGAAACCACUGAGCACAUGGGUCAUAUCAUUGAGCUGCUGAACCAACCAUGACACCACUCUGCCUGCAAGUGUACUUUGUGUUCUCUGAUGUAAUUAAGUUCCACUUUCAGUUGUAUAUUAUUCAAUUAUUUGAAGCUGAAGAUUUCCCCAUUUAGAUAGUGAUCUUACAACAGUGCCAUUUAUGUUCAUUGUUUCUGACUAAUUAUUCACUCAAUGACAAAAUGAUACAAUAGAACCCUUAUUCAUAUUGAACAAUUAACAAGGGCUUGAUUGAAUGCAUUUUAGUUUCCAAAGAAAUAACGUGGAAGCAGAUAUUUAAUUAUCCAUUAUCACUUUGAGGAAUUUUUUUGCACAUAAGGAAUCAAUUUAUGUUGCUAUGAUGAUUUCAGUUGACACCUUUAUUGAAUACUGGUAGUGUUUGCUAGAUACCACACUGAAAUGGAUAAAUGGGCAAUGGAGUCUUCACAAAGGACAAAUAUAUCCUGAGUUGGCUUGGUAUUUUCAUACUGGUGGCAAAAUAAACUGUAUUUCCUUUU
rnacentral:lncRNA from 12 species